AGAGACCCACGCUAACCACCGCCGCUUCUGCAGCUCGAAACCCCGCUACCACCGCCGGAGUGUGCACUAUCGCUAUCCACUGCCGUUGCUUGUUGUUUUGAACUGUUGCACCAUCGUUGCUGCCGUUCGGAUCACUGGGAACGUGGCAGUGAUCACCGGAACCACCAUCGGAGUUACCAUUAUUUCAGUUCAGCCGUUCGUCCUUGUUUGGGUGCUGCGUCGUCACCGAAGCUGCUGUUGCUCCAUUUUCUCAAUUAUUUGUAAGCCUAGAUUGAGCUAAGGCUAUGUUUAGAGGCUGUAGCUGCUGGGGAACGGUCGGUAUUGAUGCUGCUACUGUGGAAUAAGAAUAGAAAUGUAGUUUGUUGCGUAGUUGGAUCGCGAAUGAGCUUUACCUUUUUAGGAACCGGAUGAAGAAGCAUUAAGAAGAGUUAUACUGCA